GGUAAAGUAUUUCUUUGCUCAGUGGUAAAGCAUCUGCUUUACAUGCAGAAGGUCUGAGGUUCAAACCCCAGCUUCUCCA